rnacentral:lncRNA from 1 species
AGCAACCCUUUGGGUCCCCUUCUGCACUGUGGAAGCUUUGUUCUUUUGCUCUUUACAAUAUAUCUUGCUACUACUCAGUUUUUGGGUCCGCACUGCUUUUAUAAGCUGUAACACUCACCGUGAAGACCUGCAGCUUUGCUCCUGAGCCCAGCGAGACCAUGAGCCCACGGGGAGGAAUGAACAACUCCAGACGUGCUGCCUUAAAAGUUGUAACAUUCACCAUGAAGGUCUGUAGCUUCACUCCCGAGCCAGCGAGACCACGAACCCACCAGAAGGAAGAAACUCCGAACACAUUUGAACAUCAGAAGGAACAAACUCCAGACGCGCUGCCUUAAGAGCUGUAACACUCACUGCGAGGGUGCGCAGCUUCAUUCUUGAAGUCAGUGAGACCAAGAACCCACCAAUUCCGGACACACCAGGAGGUGGAGGUUAAACUGAGCUGAGAUUGUGCCAUUGCACUCCAGCCUGGAUAACAAGAGUGAAACUCUUAAAAUAAUACAUAUAUGUAUAUGUAUACGUAUAUAUGUAUGUAUAUGCACAAAUUAAACUUGUCAUUAUAAAAUGUUUCUUGUUGUUGUUCUCAUGCUAUAUCUUUUCCCAUCCUUUUCUUGGACACCUCUAAUAACAUACCCUUUUAUGUUGACCUUUCUGUAUCAUUUUGUUUCAAUGUGUCUCAAUUGAAUGAUUUAUCUAGUUUGUUCACACUUACUGAUUUACUUGGUUUUAAAAAAUCUACCUUUUGUGCCUUUUUUCUUGCUUUUUAUACAUUUCCUUGUCUCUCGUUUCUUUAAAUUUUGUUUACUUAUUUGAGACAGGAGUCUUGCUCUGUCACCCAGGCUGGAGUGCAGUGGCACAAUCUCACUGCAACCUCUGCCCCGGGGUUCAAGUGAUUCUCCUGCCUCAACCUCCUGGGAAGCUGGGAUUAUAGGCAUGCACCACCAUGCACGCCUAAUUUUUGUAUUUUUAGUUGGGGGCGGGAGGGAGUCUGACCACGUCAGCCAGGCUGGUCUCAAACUCCUGACCUCAGGUGAUCUGCCCGCCUCAGCCUCCCAAGGUGCUGGGGUUACAGGUGUGAGCCAUCGCACCCAGCUGGAAGUCCUUUUUUUCCCAAAGUGAAAAAUCAUUUAAUUUUGUGAUCAUAAGUUACACGUGAAAUUUUAAAUACUAGACAGUAAGAGGUAUUUAAAAGUUACCUCAAAUCCUCCCUAAAGAUGCUAGCGUUCUGCGGUAUAUAUUUAGACAUAUCUACAGACAAGGAUAUAACUUUCCCAGUUCUAUUUGUGGGACCUGGGCGGUCCACCUCUCUGAAACUGUUUCCCUAGCUAAGAAGUAGGGGUGCGAUCAACAUGGGUAGGCUAUAGUACCCAGUUACUUUGUCAAACACUAAUCUAGGUGUUCCCAUAAGGUAUUUUGUACAUGGGUUGAGUCAACAUCUACAGCUGACUUCAAGUAAAGAUUACCCUUGGCUGGGCUUGGUGGCUCACACCUGUAAUUCCAACACUUUGGGAGCCCGAGGUGGGUGGAUCACUUGAGGUCAGGAGUUCGAGAACAGCCUGGCCAACAUGGUGAAACAUCUGUCUCUGCUAAAAAUACAAAAAAAUUAGCCAGAUGUGGCAGUGCACGCCUGUAGUCCCAGCUACUUAGGAGGCUGAGGCACGAGAAUCGCUUGAACCUGGGAGACGGAGGUUGCAGUAAACCGAGAUCAUACCAUUUCACUCCAGCCUGGGCAAUAGAGUGAAACUCCGUCUUGAAAAAAAAAAGGGGGGGGGCCAGGCCUGGUGGCUCACUCCUGUAAUUCUAGCCCUUUGAGAGGCCAAGAUGAGCGGAUCACCUGAGUUCAGGAGUUUGAGACCAGUCUGGGCAACACAGUGAAACCCUGUCUUUAUUAAAAAUACAAAAAAUUAGCUGGGCAUGGUAGUGCAUGCCUGUAAUCCUAGCUACUCAGGAGACAGGCACAAGAAUCACUUGAACCCAGGAGGCGGAGGUUGUUGUAAGCCAAGAUCACACCACUUCACUCCAGUCUGGGUGACAGAGUGAGACUCUGUCUCAAAAAAAAAAAUUACCCUUGAUGUGUGGGUGGUGGGCCUCAUCCAAUCAGUUGAAGGCUUUAAGAGCAAAAACGCAUUUGCCAGAGAAGACAUUCUGCCUCAAAACUGCAACAUCAAAUCCUGCCUGAGUUUCCAACCUGCUGGCCCACCCUACACAUUUUGGACCUGCCAGCGCCCAUAAUCACAUGAGCCAUAUCCUUAAAAUAAGGUAUAGGCCACACAUAAACACACACUCUCUCUCUUUCCCUCUCUCUCUCUAUAUGUGUGUGUGUGUGUGUAUAUAUAUGUGCGUGUAUAUAUAUAUGUGUGUGUAUAUAUACACACACGUAUAUAUAGAUACACACACACACAUAUAUAUAUAUGUUGUAUUCCCUAUCUAAGACCCAGGGGAGGCAGAGCAGCAUUCAUCUCCACUGUCGGAAGGUAGUCCAAGGUCACCCCAAGGAGGCAGAACCCAGGGCUACAGACUCUCAAACCAGUGUUCUUCCCACAAAAUCAAAGGCAGUGCAGUCCCUGAGAAAGGGUCAUCUGGUGCCAGGCUGCCCAAGCGGGAUCCCCACUGUGUGAGGCUGGGUGGGGAACUUGACAUCUGCUCUCCUAGGAGUGGGAUCAUGGACCCCAGCUCACAGGGUCCUUGUGCAUUUUCUAUGCAAGUAGAGUGUAGUUCAGCCCGGCACACAGUAAAUGCAAGAUAUUGUUGCUAUUAAUAAAACUCUAGAACAAAUUCCCCAGAGGUCAAAGUCUGGCUGUGUGCCAGCCUCCAACAGGCUUCUGUGGCUGGCGGGGAGCCAGGCUACAGGGAAAACUCCCCGUACACCCAGACCUGGAGCCUGGGGCCUGGUGAGGAACGUGGGAUGAUUCUGAAACCAGUUGGCGGAGGAAGGGUUUAUGGUGUGUCUCAGCGAGUGGUCAGCACGGCACCAGGGUGGCGUACAGAAGGGGCCUGGGAGGGCAGCCUCACCUACAGGGGCCCCUCUACAGUGCCACUGGCACCAGGGCCGUGUCCAUCCCUAGGCUGGAAAACGUGCUUCCCACUUAGGGCCCCGGGGAAGCUGCUUGGGUCUGCUCUGCGUCGGAGGGAGCUCAGGAGGGAAGGCCAAGAUGCCAGGCUCAGGAGGUCCCCUGCCCUCUGGCACUGCCUGGGACUCUGUCUCAGGUGCAGUCAGGUGGCUCCGUAAGUAGCUUCUCCCCUACACCUGGCCGGGCCUCCAGAUUCUCUUAACAGCCUUAUUAGUGCAAGUGUUCUUUGAGUCAUCGGAUGUGUCAUUGGCCCCAUUUGACAGAUGAAAGUGUGGCUCAGAGGGGCAGGGACUCGCCUGAGCUCAUGGCUGGAUUGGAACCCUGCCCCCAUCCCACCCAGCUCAGAUUCCAGGCUCUCACACCCUGCCCCACCCUCAGCCUCGGCAGUCUGCCCCUUCCCAGCCCAGUGCCCCAGCCCCACAAGUAACACGCUCCCAGCCUGGUCCUCUCCUGUGGCUCCCUGCUGCCCGGUUCCAGCCUCUGCAGCAGAACAAGCUGCUGUCUAGUCCCUGCCUGGUUCCCUGUCGCUGUGCCCAUCAAAUGCCACUUACAAAGGCUCUCACAGCUCCUCAAAGCUACUGCUCCCCCUCCAUCUGGAAAUUGAGUUUAGUUUGUUUGUUUUGUUUUUGAGACAGAGUCUCACUCUGGUGCCCAGGCUGCAGUGCCUGGCGCAAUCAUGGCUCACUGCGGCCUCGACCUCCUGGCUCGGGUGAUUCUCUCGCCUCAGCCUCCUGAGUAGCUGGGACCACAAAUGCACAUCACCAUGCCUGGCUACUUUUUAAAUUUUUUUUGUAGAGAUGGGGUCUCACCACAUUGCCCAGGCUGGUCUUGAACUUUGGAACUCAAGCCAGCCUUCCACCUUGGCCUCCCAAAAUGCUGGGAUUACAGGCGUGAGCCACUGUGCCUGGCCAAUUU